GUAGAUACUUGAAAAUGAACUAAAACAGGACUGUCUUACUAAAAAUCCAGGAAUUUUGAAUGUUUCUUACUAAUUUAGCACAAGAAUGGGAAAACGAGUGUAGAUACCUGAAAAUGAACUAAAACAGGACUGUCUUACUAAAAAUCCAGGAAUUUUGAAUGUUUCUUACUAAUUUAGCACAAGAAUGGGAAAACGAAUAUGGAUACAUGAUAAUUAAUUAAUUAGAACUGAUACAUUGGAAAUCCUGUAGAUGUCAAUGAUUUUUUACCUUUUUGGCAAAAAAACUGUGACUUUUUGGCCCUAAAUCUACUUUUUACUAUUGGAAUCAUUAUUUUAAGGAAAUUGAGUAUGGAUGCCCCGAAAUUCACUAACUGGGAUCUACAUACUGGAAUUUUAAUAAUUUAUCGCCUAUUUUUAAUAAAUGGACCCAAAAAGAGGGAAAACGAGUGUGGAUACAUGAAAAUUAACUAAAUCAGGACUGUCUUACUAAAAAUCCAGGAAUUUUGAAUGUUUCUUACUAAUUUAGCACAAGAAUGG